AGGUUGUUGAUAUGCACUGUGAAGGUUGCGCCAAGAAGGUCAAACGAUCUUUUAAGGGUUUCGAAGAUAUUGAAGACGUCAAAGGUGACAGUGGCAACAAUAAGCUAACCGUGGUAGGGAAAAUAGACCCACUGAAAAUUCGAGAGCGAGUAGAGUAGAAGAUAAAGAAGAAGGUGGAGCUCAUCUCCCCAUACCCAAAAAGAAGACAAGAAACCAUAAAAAAUGCAAUGAAGAAAAGAAGGAAGACUACAAGAAGGAAAACACUAUAACAAUUGCAUAGGGGUUGAAGGUCAUGAACGGUAAUGGUGUUGCAUACAGAGACUUAAACACGGAGGAUUUAAUGACACUCUGACGGUUUUGGUAUUUUGAAAUAUUUUAAUGACACUUUACGAUUUAAUUAAGGAUAAUUUUGUAAUUUUAAUAGUUUUCUAUCUCGGAUUCUCGA